rnacentral:tRNA from 1 species
GCCUGGGUGGCUCAGUUGGUUGAGCGUCCAACUUCGGCUCAGGUCAUGGUCUCAUGGUUUGUGGGUUCAAGCCCCACAUCGGGCU